rnacentral:rRNA from 1 species
UACGUAGGGAGCAAGCGUUGUCCGGAAUCAUUGGGCGUAAAGCGCGCGUAGGUGGCCUCAUAAGUCCGCUGUGAAAGUCAAAGGCUCAACCUUUGAAAGCCGGUGGAUACUGUGAGGCUAGAGUACGGAAGAGGAGAGCGGAAUUCCUGGUGUAGCGGUGGAAUGCGCAGAUAUCAGGAGGAACACCCGUGGCGAAGGCGGCUCUCUGGGACGGUACUGACACUGAGACGCGAAAGCGUGGGGAGCGAACAGG